GACGAAGGUGGCGAGCGUUGUUCGGAAUCACUGGGCCUAAAGCGCACGUAGGCGGUGUCGUAAGUCGGGUGUGAAAUCCCUCGGCCUAACCGAGGGACUGCGCCCGAUACUGCGAUGCUUGAGGACCAGAGGGGUGCAUGGAAUUUCCGGUGGAGCGGUGAAAUGCGUUGAUAUCGGAAGGAACACCGGCGGCGAAAGCGAUGCACUGGCUGGUUUCUGACGCUGAGGUGCGAAAGCCAGGGGAGCAAACGGG
rnacentral:rRNA from 1 species